rnacentral:rRNA from 1 species
CCGGCGCAACGGGUGAGUAACACGUAUGGAACCUGCCCUAUGCAGGGGGAUAAGCGGAAGAAAUUCCGUCUAAUACCGCAUAACACCUUUAGGAGACAUCUUCUUGGGGUCAAAGGAGGCGACUCCGGCAUAGGAUGGCCAUGCGUCGCAUUAGCUAGUCGGCGGGGUAACGGCCCACCGAGGCGACGAUGCGUAGGGGUUCUGAGAGGAAGGUCCCCCACACUGGUACUGAGACACGGACCAGACUCCUACGGGAGGCAGCAG